rnacentral:rRNA from 1 species
ACUUAAAUUGAAGAGUUUGAUCAUGGCUCAGAUUGAACGCUGGCGGCAGGCCUAACACAUGCAAGUCGAGCGGUAGCACAGAGAGCUUGCUCUCGGGUGACGAGCGGCGGACGGGUGAGUAAUGUCUGGGAAACUGCCUGAUGGAGGGGGAUAACUACUGGAAACGGUAGCUAAUACCGCAUAACGUCGCAAGACCAAAGUGGGGGACCUUCGGGCCUCAUGCCAUCAGAUGUGCCCAGAUGGGAUUAGCUAGUAGGUGGGGUAAUGGCUCACCUAGGCGACGAUCCCUAGCUGGUCUGAGAGGAUGACCAGCCACACUGGAACUGAGACACGGUCCAGACUCCUACGGGAGGCAGCAGUGGGGAAUAUUGCACAAUGGGCGCAAGCCUGAUGCAGCCAUGCCGCGUGUGUGAAGAAGGCCUUCGGGUUGUAAAGCACUUUCAGCGGGGAGGAAGGCGUUAAGGUUAAUAACCUUGGCGAUUGACGUUACCCGCAGAAGAAGCACCGGCUAACUCCGUGCCAGCAGCCGCGGUAAUACGGAGGGUGCAAGCGUUAAUCGGAAUUACUGGGCGUAAAGCGCACGCAGGCGGUCUGUCAAGUCGGAUGUGAAAUCCCCGGGCUCAACCUGGGAACUGCAUUCGAAACUGGCAGGCUAGAGUCUUGUAGAGGGGGGUAGAAUUCCAGGUGUAGCGGUGAAAUGCGUAGAGAUCUGGAGGAAUACCGGUGGCGAAGGCGGCCCCCUGGACAAAGACUGACGCUCAGGUGCGAAAGCGUGGGGAGCAAACAGGAUUAGAUACCCUGGUAGUCCACGCCGUAAACGAUGUCGAUUUGGAGGUUGUGCCCUUGAGGCGUGGCUUCCGGAGCUAACGCGUUAAAUCGACCGCCUGGGGAGUACGGCCGCAAGGUUAAAACUCAAAUGAAUUGACGGGGGCCCGCACAAGCGGUGGAGCAUGUGGUUUAAUUCGAUGCAACGCGAAGAACCUUACCUGGUCUUGACAUCCACAGAACUUUCCAGAGAUGGAUUGGUGCCUUCGGGAACUGUGAGACAGGUGCUGCAUGGCUGUCGUCAGCUCGUGUUGUGAAAUGUUGGGUUAAGUCCCGCAACGAGCGCAACCCUUAUCCUUUGUUGCCAGCGGUUCGGCCGGGAACUCAAAGGAGACUGCCAGUGAUAAACUGGAGGAAGGUGGGGAUGACGUCAAGUCAUCAUGGCCCUUACGACCAGGGCUACACACGUGCUACAAUGGCAUAUACAAAGAGAAGCGACCUCGCGAGAGCAAGCGGACCUCAUAAAGUAUGUCGUAGUCCGGAUUGGAGUCUGCAACUCGACUCCAUGAAGUCGGAAUCGCUAGUAAUCGUAGAUCAGAAUGCUACGGUGAAUACGUUCCCGGGCCUUGUACACACCGCCCGUCACACCAUGGGAGUGGGUUGCAAAAGAAGUAGGUAGCUUAACCUUCGGGAGGGCGCUUACCACUUUGUGAUUCAUGACUGGGGUGAAGUCGUAACAAGGUAACCGUAGGGGAACCUGCGGUUGGAUCACCUCCUUACCUUAAAGAA